rnacentral:tRNA from 1 species
GAGAGAUGGCUGAGCUGGUCGAAGGCGCACGAUUGGAAAUCGUGUAUACCCUAUAAAGGUAUCAAGGGUUCGAAUCCCUUUCUCUCC